CAAAGUAUAGCUCAAACUUAAAGCAUCUAGCUUACACCUAGAAGAUGUCAUAUAAGAUGACUACUUUGA
rnacentral:tRNA from 1 species